CCAGACUCCUACGGGAGGCAGCAGUGGGGAAUAUUGGGCAAUGGGCGCAAGCCUGACCCAGCAACGCCGCGUGAAGGAAGAAGGCUUUCGGGUUGUAAACUUCUUUUAAGAGGGAAGAGCAGAAGACGGUACCUCUUGAAUAAGCUCCGGCUAACUACGUGCCAGCAGCCGCGGUAAUACGUAGGGAGCGAGCGUUGUCCGGAUUUACUGGGUGUAAAGGGCGUGCAGCCGGGAGUACAAGUCAGAUGUGGAAUCCCGCGGCUCAACCGCGGAACUGCAUUUGAAACUGUAUUUCUUGAGUACCGGAGAGGCAGACGGAAUUCCUAGUGUAGCGGUGAAAUGCGUAGAUAUUAGGAGGAACACCAGUGGCGAAGGCGGCCUGCUGGACGACAACUGACGGUGAGGCGCGAAAGCGUGGGGAGCAAACAGGAUUAGAUACCCUGGUA
rnacentral:rRNA from 1 species